UGAGCACAGCUGGUUCAGGCUCAGGCCCUGUGGCUUGAGCGCGUGCGCGAGGAAGCCGGGCGCGCGCGGCCAAAAGGGGGCGGCGCGCUGCAUGGGCCGGGAAUCGAACCCGGGCCUCCCGCGUGGCAGGCGAGAAUUCUACCACUGAACCACCCAUGCACCGGUGGCGGCGGCCACCAGACGGCUUCCCCAGCGGCGCUCGUCGUCGUCCCGGCACGGCCAGUGGUCUCAACUUUGGGAGAAAGAAGCAGCCACUGCCUGCUGGUGCCAAGAAAUUGGGAAGAAAAGAAGCAAGGACCCUAGUGUCGCACAACUGGGGUGGUUUAAUGAUCUGGCUUUUAGAACCACACAACUGGGAUCUACUUGCAAUCUCAAGGUGAAAAAAAAAAAAAGGAGUCUCACAGGUAAUACUAGUGUCUCAUUAAUAAUCUAUAAAUACGACCUGCAAGAGCAGGCAGAAAGGCGUAGUCUCUGUGGCGCAAUCGGUUAGCGCGUUCGGCUGUUAACCGAAAGGUUGGUGGUUCGAUCCCACCCAGGGACGACUGAAGUUUCAGUUUUCCUUUUUUUCCUAUUAAACAUCAAAGUUCCACUUCUAAUCCAAUAUUCUACGAAUCAGUUAGUAAAAGAACAUCUAGUAAGAUGUUCUCUAGUAAGAGAUAUUCCCCAGGUCCUGCAUCCCAUGAGAUCAGGAGCUAUCUACGGCCAAACUAGAGACACGGUACUUCUUUUCCUUCUGGAAGCUAAACCUUUCAUAGCUGUAUUUCUGCAGAAUUCCAUAGCCAGUGGGCCUCUGCAAAUGAGUGGUGCUAAUACUAAAAUCAGUUAAGGCUCUUUCACAUCUGUUUAUUCUUGCAGCGAAUGCUAAGCUCCUGGAGAAAUUCAAUGAUCCCUGGACAAGUUUAAAAGGGAUUAAAGUUUAGCAUUUCAUGCAUUGAUGUGCUCUAAUUUGUCCUACUACCUACUCAUAGUUGGGCACUGCCCUUAUACAUAGGGCUACAGUGAAGGUCCUAGAAAUAAUCUUUUAAGGGCUUUGCCUGUGACUCCCAACUCUUUUCCUUUCGUAUUACACUCUUUUGGUGAUCCUGUCAACUUUCUUUUUUUUUUUUUUUUUUUUUCCUGUCAACUUUCAAAUUUGUGUCUCCAGAACUUCUCCGAAUUCUAAACCCAGCCACGCGUCCACCUGCCUGCCUCAUGACCCCUUCCUUAGGGUCAUCCUCUUCCUAACUGAGUCCAACUUCUCCCCAGUCCCUAGGCAGGAGUCUUUUCCAGGAUUUCCACUCCUAGGGAAUUGAUGGCAGUGCCAUCACCUUUAGGGAAAACAAGCCAGAUAGCAACGAGACUUCCUUGACUUCGCCCAGCAAAUCCAUGGGUCAUCAGGUU
rnacentral:lncRNA from 12 species